ensembl:snRNA U6 U6 spliceosomal RNA
GUGCUCACUUCAGCUGUACAUAUACUAAAAUUGGAACAAUACAGAGAAGAUUAGCAUGGCUCCUGCACAAAGAUGACAUGCAAAUUCAUGAAGCAUAUUUUU